UACGUAGGGUGCGAGCGUUGUCCGGAAUCACUGGGCGUAAAGGGAGCGUAGGCGGCGUGGUAAGUCAGAUGUGAAAUCCCGGGGCUCAACCCCGGAACUGCAUCCGAUACUGCCAUGCUUGAGGGUUGGAGAGGUAGCUGGAAUUCUCGGUGUAGCAGUGAAAUGCGUGGAUAUCGAGAGGAACACUCGUGGCGAAGGCGAGCUACUGGACAACAUCUGACGCUGAGGCUCGAAGGCUAGGGGAGCAAAAGGG
rnacentral:rRNA from 1 species